rnacentral:rRNA from 1 species
UACGGAGGGUGCAAGCGUUAAUCGGAUUUAUUGGGCGUAAAGGGCGCGUAGGCUGGCGAAUAAGUCGGGUGUGAAAUUCUGAGGCUUAACCUCAGAGCUGCACUUGAAACUAUUUGUCUAGAGGGUAGGCGGAGAAAACGGAAUUCCACAAGUAGCGGUGAAAUGCGUAGAUAUGUGGAAGAACACCGGUGGCGAAGGCGGUUUUCUAGCUUACACCUGACGCUGAGGCGCGAAAGUUAGGGGAUCAAACAGG